UUUGAAUAACUUUUGUGUGUGUGUGUGUGUGUGUGUGUGUGUGUGUGUGUGUGUGUGUGCAGGAGGCCAGAAUAACUUGUCUGGCAAUGAUAAGAGUGGAUGGAGGAACUGUCUAUCCCUGUCCCAUGGUCUUGUCCACAGGUCAGCCUCACAAAGGGAAAGAGCCCUGGAUGGGAAUACAGUGGGAGCUCACUUUCUUAGUGACCUGGGGACAUUGGCUCGAGAUGAGGCCUGGCAGGAGUGGCAACUCCAGCUCGAGCCCUCUGUCUCUUGCCUCGGCACCUGGGUGGCUUGCCGCCCACAAGUGGGCAUCUCCAUUGCACACAGUGAAAAGUUUGGUGAAGGAUUUUAAGGACUUCCCAUUGGCUGAAGGCUGGCAAAUGGAGUUUGCCAUCCUCUGACUGCAGCCAUUCUGAGGACUGGAAAGAAUACCCUGAGAAGUGGCCUAUUUUAUUUCUGCAGGAAGAAGAUGAGAUUUCUGCGCCUGUGACAAUCAAGAACAGCCUUCAGCUUGGUCUCCUUUCAGGCUGGAGUGCAGUGGCACGAUCUUGGCUCAGUGCAACCUCCGCCUCCCAGGUUCAAGCGAUUCUCCUGCCUCAGCCUCCCGAGUAGCUGGGACCACAGGUGCCCGCCACUAUGCCCGGCUAAUUUUUUGUAGUUUUAGAAGAGACGGGGUUUCACCAUGUUAGCCAGGAUGGUCUCGAUUUCCUGACCUCGUGAUCCGCCCGCCUCAGCCUCCCAAAGUGCUGGGAUUACAGGCAUGAGCCACCGUGCCCGGCCCAAAUCACCAAAUUUUC